CCUGGGGCUGUAGUAGGUCCCAAGGGUUGGGCUGUUCGCCCAUUAAAGCGGUACGCGAGCUGGGUUCAGAACGUCGUGAGACAGUUCGGUCCCUAUCCGUUGUGGGCGUAGGAAAUUUGAUAGGAGCUGUCCUUAGUACGAGAGGACCGGGAUGGACGAACCUCUGGUGAAUCUGUUGGUAACCAAUGCCACAGCAGAAUAGCCAAGUUUGGAAUGGAUAAACGCUGAAGGCAUCUAAGCGUGAAGCCAACCUAAAGACUAGAUUUCCCAUGCGAAAGCAGUAAGACUCCUUGUAGACGACAAGGUUGAUAGGCCAGAGAUAAGUCGAGGGCUUGACCAA
rnacentral:rRNA from 1 species